GUUUUUCUACGUUCUUAGUACGUGAGCGCCAGAUGGCAGUUAAACUUACUUGUAAAGUUGUCUUUGUGUAGGAAGAAAAAUAACGAGUAUAUUGUUAAACUUACUUAACAUAAGUUUCCGCUUUGUUGCUACUCAAGAGUAGUAGUCUGCAACUUUUCCUGAAUAUUCACCAUGGCCGACACGGCUUUCAGUAAGCAUAAAGGGUCACCGUCGUCCUCGCCUAAGCGACUAUGGACGUUAACCACUGGAGCCGACAGUGCGCAAAUGCGCGAAGUACAUCAGCUGUGUUUGCCAUCCCGAGGCACAGUUAGCCUUGUUCAGAAUAUCCACUUUGGGGAAAAGUCGUCUGGAACUUUCGAAAUGGCCCGCUAUGUGCUCAAAGAAAUUCCACUGCAGAGCCACUCGGACACCGUCAAGAAGUUGGACGAAAAGUGGACGCUGUUAAAAAAUCUCCGGCAUGAAAACGUCGUACGCUACACACAUGUCGAAGUAUCUCCGCAAUCCUUGACUAAACCGGCGCAGCUGAUUGUUUUAAUGGAGUGGUGUCAAGGUAAAUAAUUUCCGGCAGCAAAGUACGGGACUUCAGAUUGCUGUAAUUAACAGCCGUGCAAUUUUUCGUUGACAAUAAACAUUGAUAAUUUUCGUCCAAAUACAAACAAACAAAUAAAUUUAUAUAUAAACAAGUUUAAUACGUAUAGGAUUAUGUAAGCACCACAACUUACAAUUGUUAGAUGACGUACAUACAGAGCAUGCGACAUCAAUUUAACUGCGCCAUUGGCUUUAGGAUAACAAUACUUGCGCGUAAACAUCGGUUGCAUGUUUUUGCACUUAAAUAAUACUUAAUGUUUUUAAGGAACCGUAGCUGGGAUCAUAGUUAAGUGUCAGUAGUCCGUAUGCACAACAAAGCCAGAGUAUUAAAUUAGCAAUGGAGUACGUAAAUAAACCUACGACAGUGAGCCUAUUUGUCUGCAUAACUGGCAGCCUUGCGGAACUUUUCAAGAAAAUAGUACCAGCCUGGUCGGUCGUACACAAACUGACCAAAGACAUGGUAACCGGCGUCGAGUUCCUUCAUUCACAUGGCGUAUUCCACGGCGACAUAAAACCUGACAACAUUCUGCUCGGUGUCGACGCUAACCAGGACAUCGUAGCGAAAAUUGCUGACUUAGAUGAUUUCGUGCCGGUUCCUAAUGAGGUCAGCAACCAAACACUGAGCGCAGCCGCGAUGGUUGGUACCCUCAUGUAUCUGUCACCUGAGCGUAUUAACCAAAUCCCCAGCCCAAUAAAUGAUCACUUCCAUGAAGCUGAUGAUCGUCACGGCGACCGACCAAAAGGCAUCCGAAAGAACGCCGAUAUUUGGAGCGUUGGCUGUACAGAGUCUGUACUGUCAUUUUCCUAGUGUCUUCACAGAUGUGCCAUUAUACGAAUGCUAAUUUGGAGGUAUUUUCGAUUGAGAAAAACCAAAGCAGAGCCAUUAAAAACCCAGAGGAACAAAAACCGCUUCGGUUGAACAGUGUACAACUGGAGCGGUUUCUGUAAACUGGAGGCCGACCUUGGAUUCCUACCGAUAUAAAAGCUAUUGGCUGAAUUCAUUAAGAAAUGCACUGUCGAAGAUCCUUUACGGCGUUCUAGCGCCAAACAACUACUGGCCGAUCCAUGGAUUUGUUGCGAUCCGGACAACAGAAUGGUUGCUGGAUUGCACCAAAGACCUGAAGUAAUUAAACUGCGGUCCAACUAUGUUCUUCCACGCCAUACGGACAGCGAAAAGGAAUACAGCGACAUCUCCUGGAGCAACAGCGCCAAUUGCGGUGUGCGCUUCCUGGCCCACUACGAAGCUCCUCCGUUUAGAAUCGAGAACGCUGAAAGGCUGAUACACGAAUGCCCAAAAGCCUUGGAUCCUGGACAGCCUAUUAAGAAAAAAUUUCGCGUAGUACUUGCUGAGCUGCUACCUGAAUUACGAAUACCGAAGAAUUAAUUUUUUCAUCAGUUGGCACGGGACAUUCUUAGUAACGAGUCACUUCAGCCCGCAUUCACGCAGGGUUUGCAGCCAGUCGGUGCACCAUUUCCUUAAUUAGUGGAAUGGCUGAACACAUUUGAAGUUGAGUACGAAUACGUCGUGAAAGAAAAUGUCAGUUGGUUGGACAUCCAGGCAGAGCUGGACGCCGGGCGUCCUGUCCUGUUUUGGUUAUGUGCCAUAUUGGGCGCUAUACGAUCAAACCGUAUGCUAAGCAGAUUCUGCAAGCCGACGGUCUGCCCGACGAUGUGCCAUCUAUGCAUGUUACGAUCAUCCAUGGUUACAUGGGAUCCACCGAUGAAGACCGUAUGCUGUUCUGUACGAGCUGCAACGGAAUAAUGCGCGAGUGGUUGUACUUGGAUUUCCUUCCAUGUUGGGACUGGAACCUGAAUGACUGGCGUUUCGACAAGAUAUUCGAGUGCGCCGAAGUGCGAAAGCGUAGCAUUGUGUGCCGUCAAAUAAAGUCGCUCUCAGCUAAACCGUCUGCGAAGUGUCAUGCAGUUAAGAUUACGGAUUCGACUACUGUGCGCUGCGGCGCAAGGCAAGAGAUGGAGGAAAUGGACUGAUAGCUGCGUCAGCAGUUAUAAUUAAAAUCGGAUACUGCCUGCAACUUUGCUUUUGUUGCAAAGCCGGCUUUUGUUGUUUUCUUCCCGGCUUCGUCUACGGCAUUCUGGACUCAGCUAAAGUGCUGCCCAAGGUCCAUCAUAGUGGCUACAGUUACUGUACUGCAUGCUUGCCUUGACGUCCCUUUAGUAAUCAAAAAAUUGUUUAUUAAUUAGGCUACCUAAUCUUCUUACGUGGUAAUAACUUGACCGUUGUUUUGUUAUUUUACUUUACAGCUGUCA